rnacentral:rRNA from 1 species
UACGGGGGGGCAAGCGUUGUUCGGAAUUACUGGGCGUAAAGGGCUCGUAGGUGGCCAACUAAGUCAGACGUGAAAUCCCUCGGCUUAACCGGGGGAACUGCGUCUGAUACUGGAUGGCUUGAGUUCGGGAGAGGGAUGCGGAAUUCCAGGUGUAGCGGUGAAAUGCGUAGAUAUCUGGAGGAACACCGGUGGCGAAGGCGGCAUCCUGGACCGACACUGACACUGAGGAGCGAAAGCCAGGGGAGCAAAAGCGGGG